UGAACGCUAGCGACAGGCCUAACACAUGCAAGUCAGGGGCAGCACAAGGAGCAAUCUGAGGUGGCGACCGGCGCACGGGUGAGUAACACGUAUGCAACCUGCCUGUAAGCGGGGAAUAACCCGUUGAAAGACGGACUAAUACCGCAUAAUACUAAAUUACUGCAUGGUAAUUAUUUAAACAUUUAUGGCUUACAGAUGGGCAUGCGCAUGAUUAGCUAGUUGGAGAGGUAACGGCUCCCCAAGGCAACGAUCAUUAGGGGUUCUGAGAGGAAGGUCCCCCACACUGGUACUGAGACACGGACCAGACUCCUACGGGAGGCAGCAGUGAGGAAUAUUGGUCAAUGGACGAGAGUCUGAACCAGCCAAGUCGCGUGCAGGAAGAAUGUCCCUAUGGAUUGUAAACUGCUUUUGCAGGGGAAUAAAGUGCAUCACGUGUGAUGUUUUGUAUGUACUCUGCGAAUAAGGAUCGGCUAACUCCGUGCCAGCCGCUGC
rnacentral:rRNA from 1 species